GAAAGUUUGUCAUAUGUAGAGAGAGGAAUUCAUAGAGCACAAGUAAGACAAAUUUGAUCAAAGUAUUGCACAAAGAGGUGAAAGGUUGCUUCAGGAAUUAAUAAAGAAUGGAAGAAAAUUAUUUUUCAACGAUGACUGGCUUUGGAUACAUUUUCACAAAAAGCGAUUCACAUCUCAAAGAAAGACCAAGUUACAUCAAAGGUGAUAAUUUUCGUGAUUCGAGGACGAAUCCUUUUGAAGAGAGGGAAGAUGAACACGGAGCAUUAUAUACUGUCAAAUAUAUGUAUAUUCUAUGUAUAUCGAACAUUAUAUACUUUUGUCUUAAAAUAUCCUAAAAA